GAUGAACGCUGGCGGCGUGCCUAAUACAUGCAAGUCGAGCGAACGGACGAGAAGCUUGCUUCUCUGAUGUUAGCGGCGGACGGGUGAGUAACACGUGGAUAACCUACCUAUAAGACUGGGAUAACUUCGGGAAACCGGAGCUAAUACCGGAUAAUAUUUUGAACCGCAUGGUUCAAAAGUGAAAGACGGUCUUGCUGUCACUUAUAGAUGGAUCCGCGCUGCAUUAGCUAGUUGGUAAGGUAACGGCUUACCAAGGCAACGAUGCAUAGCCGACCUGAGAGGGUGAUCGGCGACACUGGAACUGAGACACGGUCCAGACUCCUACGGGAGGCAGCAGUAGGGAAUCUUCCGCAAUGGGCGAAAGCCUGACGGAGCAACGCCGCGUGAGUGAUGAAGGUCUUCGGAUCGUAAAACUCUGUUAUUAGGGAAGAACAGAUGUGUAAGUAACUGUGCACAUCUUGACGGUACCUAAUCAGAAAGCAACGGCUAACUACGUG
rnacentral:rRNA from 1 species